UAUAUAUAUAUAUAUAUAUAUAUAUAUAUAUAUAUAUAUAUAUGAAUAAAUAAAUAAAUAAAUAAAAUGUACAAUUGCAAUAACACAUUGCAACUUAAAUAAAUAUUUAAUCAGAAUGAUGAACCAUAACUGGCAGGACAAACUUGCCAUUCAUGCAAACACUGAAAUUUUAAUAAAAAUUUAAUUGGAAUAACAAACUAAGACUCGCAAGACUAACUCAACAGCUGUGUGAGCUACUGCUCACCUAUCUGAUGCCUGUCCCUUCCUCCCUUUUUUUUUUUCUUUCCUCUCCCUUCUUUCUUGUCUCAAACCUCUCUCCCUGUCACCUCUCCUUCCUGUUAUCUGUCAGAGAUACAAGGGAGUAAUACCUCACUCUUUCUCUCCUCCUUAUUCAUUUUGUCAUUUUGCUCUAUCCUUUCUCACUCUUUCUCACUCUCAUACAUGUAAUUCCAUUCUCAUUCUCGAUUGGUCGCAUUCUAUUUUAGCAAUCUUUAGGAUUGUUCUUUACUUACUUCCUCACUCGCGUGGUCGCCUGGCUGCCAUGCGAGUGAGGAAGUCCUUACUUUAAAAACACAAUGUUCGCCAAGGUUGUUGAUCGCCAGGGUUGGCGAACGUGAGUGGUCGCCAGCGCUAACAUUUUCUAUCCCCGCUCGACUUACCACAUCAGCCACUGAAAAUGCUCAGGAAAUCCAAGUUUGUUUACAUCAGCUGUUAUCAUCGUGGCUUCCUGUAUCAACCCUACCGUGACUUCUCGUGCCUCUCCUGUAUCCAUUUUGGAUAAAGAGGUACUGCCGGAGUUCGUUAAGGACCAUAUAGAGGUCCUGAACGAUAAAAGUACGAAAUUCUGUGCAAGCAACAAGAAGGCACAGGCUUGGCAGGAGAUUGCCAGCAAGUUUUGUGAUCUGACCAGUCACAAAAGAACUCCUCAACAAUUGUGGAAGAUAUGGGAGAAUCUUAAAAACUGAAAUCCUUCCUGUUCCACCAUUGGCUGGGACUGACCAACACAGCACCAACAAGAAGCCUAAAUGUGCUAUUAACCGAAGAAAAAAAGACAAAAUUCCACCCAACCCCAUAAGUAACUCUAGUUGCAAAGCAUGUCCAAAGACAAAUGUGAUACUAAGUACAAAUAUGUGUAUGCUAUGCAAUAAUGUAGUCAUAAACAUGAAACACAUGUGAUAUUAAAACACAAGAUAAUGUU